UCGUGCUUUGCGCCGCCCGUAGUCAUUAACCCCUACAAUCCUGCGGCAUUCUCUGGAUGGCCAGCCACGUCAUCCAGUUUUACUGUUACAGUAAAAACAAAAACCAUCGAUCUCUCUUCCAUCGUCUCUUCUUUCUUCGACUCUUCUCCUCCUCUCUCUUUGCUUCCUUCCUUCCGACUCCCGAUGCCAGGGCUGACGGCGACGGCGACAGCUCCGAGCGCAACCGGCGCGUUGCGGCCGCCCUCCUCCUCCUCCUCCUCCACCUCCACCUCGUCUGCCUUAUCCUCCUCCUCGUCCUCCUUCUCCUCCAUCCUCUUCCUCUCUCUAUCUCCCCUGCCCUCCCGAUGCGGCGGCAGGAGCCGCUCGUGUGGCCGGCCCGAGGCGGCACGCCAGCGCCUCCGCUGCUCCCUCCCCCCGCCUCGUGUCCUCUCCCUUUCUCUCUCCCCACGGCCGUGGCUGCAUCUGCGCCGGGGAAACCCUAGGUGCCAUGGUGGGCUCGGAUCUAGCCACGGUGAUACCCGGCAUGCGCUGCCCUGCCAUGUCUGGCUCCGAUGGAUAAGGCGCCAGUGCCUGGCACAGACGGGCCAUGCUGGCUGCAACCACUGUCCUUGUCCUCCUCCAACCUCGCAUCUCAGCAUGCCCAAAAGGAUAAAUGGAUGGUGGCGGCGCCGCUGUCCUACACCAAUCCUAGCAGGGCAAUAAUCUAUAGCUACAUGAUUUUUGUUGCUCUCUGUAGCUCUGUGGCAAUUGAUUCAAAUGCAUCGUGUUGACUAUGCCACCUGGAUUUGGACUGUGAUGCUUAGAAAAGGAGAAUAACAUUAUCUGAAAGAGCAGCUAGGUUUUCUCAGCUUUUCAAAAGUCUGCGGCUUUUCAGGUUAGUUAAAGAGUUCAUAUCCUUUUUUUGGAAAUGUUGUUUAUGGUAGCCACUAAUGCCAAUUUCUAUCAUUCCUGAAAGACAAUGUUCUAUAAUGAAUGACAAUGGCUGACAUGCUGAGCCUGUAGGUGUCAAGCAUUAUUGUGCAUGAAGAUUGGCUUCUCUUUCUGCUUUACUUCACCGCUACUAUAGUUUUCUAGAAUAAUGUUUUGGUAUUCAAAGUUUCAUUAUUUCCAUUUUAAGCAUACUAUAGUUGCCAUCAUCAAAUUUGUGUGCCUCACUGUCAUUGCAAGUAACUUAGUGUCAGUGCCUUAUGCUCUGUCCCAGCCAUCAUCUCACCUUCACAGAUACUUAGCUGCUCAUCAACUUAUAUGAAAAUUACCAUUGCCAUAUGCUCUGGGGAUGUUACUGUCCUGUAGAACCUUGGGACCACCUCACUUAGAGUUGUAGCUUCACACAUGCUAUGAAUACCAAAGUUAAAGAUCAAAUUUUUAUGUGCCCUAUAAAUAGCUUGCAAUUGUUAUCAAGUAGCAGCAACAUAGGACAUAGUCUAGCGUGGAAUGUAAUUUGUGGUGGAUUCCUGAUGGAACCUUUCCUAAAAGGUGGGUGGAUAGUGUUCUUUCCCAUCUUUAGAAAAGGAAAAUGGUUCAUUUAAUGUGUACCUUGUUUAUGAUUCUAAACACUAAAAGAUAUAUGAAUCGCUGCUAGAUAAUUCAAGAUUUUCAUCAGGAAUUAGGAAAUGAUAAUCUUUUAGUUCCAAUUGCUAUGUUACAGCUUCCUAUAUUUCACAUGUUUGCUACAUACGGCUUAAGUGUGAUACAAAUAAACCAUGUCGUGAGGGCUGUAUAAAUGGGUCUCCCAUGUCCUUUGUAUACUUUACAUUAUUGUUCAAAUGUGCAGCCUCAUCAUUUAGUCUUGAUGAAGCACCCCUAAAAGAUCUUGCCAUUGGGUAAGUGACACUACUGUGUCAUAAUUAGUCAACCAAACAUACCAAAAUUUGUAUUUUAAAAUUGUUUACUUACUAAUUUUAGAUUUGUCCAAUCUGAACCACAUUACCAGCAGCAGCAGCGAGCCUCGCUCAUAAGCAGCCGCUCAGAGUUAGCGACGAGGCUGCCAAUGAAACAGUGGCAAAUAAGAAUGUGAAAACUACCACAGCUACACAGGAUGACAAAGACAGGCCUCAUGCAGCGCCGCUAUAGCGCAAACUCAAUAGGUUCAAUUGAAUACUGUGGCGCGCCCCUUCAACUAGUACUUGUAAUAGGGUGCGCGCCAUCGCGCGCGUAGAUUGGCACAAAAGAUUUCUAAUAUGAAGAAUAUAUAGACUAUAAUAUAAAUAAAUAAUGUAGGUAGAGUGUCUAACUACGUCAGGAUAGGCCCCUUGAGUUCAUGCCUCGAGAUUUCGUGAGAACAUCUAUCGUUCGUGUCACUAUUAUAGGGGUGAUGGUGGUUACAUAACAGACAACAUUCAAGUUAACGUUAAUUUAACAGAAAUGGUAGAAGACAACAUGGAAGAAAUAUUUUGAUGCCGAAUUUGUAAAGUUGAAUCUUUUUGAUGUUCUAAACUUUGGCUCUUUCAAUGGUAGAACUCUAAUUUUAUUACUUCAA